UCUUGGAAAAUCCUACAGAGAUCGAGAUUUCCACCAAUACGAACAAAAAGUGCUCCCUAGAGUCUGCAAGGCACUGCACACCUUGUAGGAGUCACAGCCCCGUUGAUACUAAAAGAUAUUUACUCAGCACUUUCCUGAAGUUACACUUUAUAUUUAUUUUUUUUUUCUUGCUACCCAAGCCCACAGCCUCUCACACCCACAAGCCUAUCUACCUUCGUCAUUAAUGGUGCGGUGGGCUUACUUGGCGCUUCAGAUUCACCGCACAGGAAAGUACCUCUGUGAUCAAGAGGACGUUGUGCGACAAACAUUACCGGGCACUGCAAUGUAACAGCGCCAUUGGAGUCAUAGGUUUUUUCUUGUCUCAUUUCAGGCUGCAUCUGGAAGGGAAAUUUCUAGUUUUGGAGCACUUACCGUCUUCUAAUACGUAAAAUGGUUGUUUGUGACAUGUUCAUGGAAACAUCCACAAUUCAUCUUGGGUGAUAUAGUGUACAGCAACUGAAUUAUUCAAAACUAACCAUUUUAAACAAGAGUUAUACCACUCAGUAUCACUCUGGAGCCAUUGCUCAGCCUCCUGGGCACACCUCGGCCUGCACUAACAGUCAGAAGCUCUUACUUUGGUAAGUCAGUGCCCAGUUUUUUGCUCUUUCAGACCUUCUACAGCAACGAAGCAAAUGACAUUUUUUUCUCUCUGAAUCCUAACAAAGUGCUAUGAUCGUAAGAACUGUAAAGGCUAUAACAUUUUUAGUAUACAUAGCAUAAGAGAGUGGGGAAAAAAUCAAAUUGUGUGAAAUAAAAACAGUGAAGUAGUAUGUCAGACUGCUCAAAUUGUCCUAAUUUCAAUCUUUUCCUGUGGCCAAAUACUUUUCUGCAGUUCUCUCUGUGUCUGAGAAAAUACAUAUUCACAGAUGUUCCUUGCUACAGUUUUUUAGCUCUUUUCAGGAUUUUACUUUCAGAAAAGUCACCAUGGUUUGACUUGUAGGUGUGUUUUGCCUGCUAAGUUUAGAUUGAUAUGCUAGCAUUUCACAUGUACCUACCUCCUGCAGUAGGUGCUUUAAAAAUACGCACAGAUAAUGAAAACUUUCCUGGUUCUUACUAUAUCUCCAAGAUGCAACUCUAACUCCUCGAUAACUUGCAACUGGCAAAAUGUUUUGACAAAAGCAGUGUGUUUUAUGAGAGAUCAGGCUCAUCAGUUCAAGACAGAGCACGGUCAAAUACAAUCACACCUGCACUGGCUUGUUCUCAGAACAUUGUACUGUGUUUUACACAGUCUUGGGUCAGUACAAAUCUGGAAUUCUGAGUGUUGAGUUUUAAUUUACUGACAUCUGAAAAUACAUGAGCUAGUCUAGAGAUUGAAACUGAUCAGUAAGGAGAAUGUGAACGGCAGGUCAUACAUCUGGUGUCAACAAUGAAGGCAUUUGCUACCUAUAAACUUCAGGUGUGUUAUAAGUGGAAAAAAAAUAUUAAAAAAUGAUUUUAAAGAAGGUUAAAUAUCAGUCACAGAGGAGGUGGCAUGGUAUCUCAGCACACAGGAGGUAACAGGGAGUGUACUUUUCAUAUAACACCAUGGCCGUUGCCCCUUUCUACCUGAAAGAGAUCAGCAGCUGCAAAGGUGUAAGUGGACAUAGGGCUGGGAAAACAGACCAGCCAUGAAAAUAGUCUAUUUUUUCCAAAGGAAAAGUUGUUGCAAGAGUCAAAUCACAGUAACAAACUACAAAACAAAUCACAAACUUAAGAACAUUUAUUUUAUUUGCUCUGAAGAACUGCUUGUGAUUUUCUGUGUUAUUUUUCAUAUGUCUUUUUCCUCAUCAAGAUGCUGUCUGAUAGAUUGUCUUUCAUGGUGUAAAAUAGUUAAUUAACCAGAACCAGUAUUAUUCCCUUUUCUGAGCGCUAAAGUUUAUGUCCCUGAAAGACCAUGGCAAAAUACACCCUUAACUUCAGUAGCACAGGAAUGAGCACUACAUUAAUACUUUGUGUCUUACUUCAUGGUUCUUUAAUUUUAAUUCCAUAUUGCUGUGCAUAUUUAAGCGUGAGAGACCUGUGGUUUUUUACUUGUCUAUAUUUGUAAUUUAUGCCUUCACAUAAAGACAGUAUAGAUUCUCUCCUGAGCCAAUGCCUAUGCAUUGAACUACUCAAUUUAUAGACUUACUGAACAGGUAUGCUAUUUUUUAUGCCACUCUAACAGUUGUCUUCAUUUUCAGAAGCUGAUUUGUUACUUAUUAACUUUUUCCAUGAGAAGAGACAAAGACUGAGUUUCAAAGGACAAAAAACAUAUUUUUUUUCCAUUUUGCAUUUGAAAAUAUUUUGCAUGUAAUGAUUUUCUCUGCUUUGUUAAUUACAGCUCACAUCCAUAAAGAUUCUCAGUAAUGAAUGACCUUGGGUUUAUGCAGCGUAUCUCUGACUGUCGAUAGACAAAAAUUUACACAUUAACAAACAUCUUUGUAUUUUUGCAGCUGUUUAGGUAUCCUUUGGAUGUUUGUAUAGGUGCUUUUACAGGAGCUGGAGAAAGGAAAAAAGUCUGAUAAGAAUGAACAAACAGGAAAAUGUGAUUAUACUCAUAAUACCUACAGAACUUCCUCUCAGACCCAUUAUGUAACCUGUGCAGGAUAAUCCCAGCCGUUGCGUGGGGGACAGUCUUUCAUUUCAAGCUCGGGCAAUUUUUCAUGCUGUUUACCCUGAAACUGUUAAACAAACAUUUAAUCACAGUAUUGAAGAAUCUUUUACAUUAAUUUCAAUAGCUUAACUACUCAGUUUGUGACUGCUAGUUGCAAUGACUUAAUAUAAGAUACUUACCUAUGUUUUGUAUUUAAAUUAACGAUAUUUCUGUCAAAUACUGGUAACAGGUAUUCAUGUAAAUUAAAUUUUAUAUAUCUGUAAAAUCAAUAAAUAUAUAUGAGUAAUAUGUAUUACUCAGCAAGGCUCAUAAUCUGCCUUUAAAAUAGGAAAUUUUAUCCUCGCUUAAUAGAAUAAUUCCAGUGUGAAAAGAGUAUCUGCUUCUAGAUGCAGCUUUAAUAAAGAUAACAAAUAGCUAUAUAUUGGCCUUUUCAAAGAGUAUUUAUAUCAUAGAGCUAAUAAAAUAACACAGCAGUUCAAAGUAUUUAUCUUUUAUUUCUAAAUUUUCACUUUAAUUUCCAGUUACCAAAAAAUCGUAAUCAACUCUUUUGACCUGAUAUAUUUAAAAGAAUAUCUUCAUGAACAGUGCUGUUGAAAACUGAAAAAAAAAAAAAAAUCAGGAAAGGAUGUACUAUUUCAUGCAAGAUACAUGAAUUUAGUCAUUAUAUAGCUAGAUCUAAUUUCAUGGACAUCAGAUCUGCCUAAAGCCAGUAAUUUUU